rnacentral:rRNA from 1 species
UAGGGAAUCUUCCGCAAUGGACGCAAGUCUGACGGAGCAACGCCGCGUGAGUGAAGAAGGUUUUCGGAUCGUAAAACUCUGUUGUUAGAGAAGAACAAGUGCUAGAGUAACUGUUAGCGCCUUGACGGUAUCUAACCAGAAAGCCACGGCUAACUACGUGCCAGCAGCCGCGGUAAUACGUAGGUGGCAAGCGUUGUCCGGAUUUAUUGGGCGUAAAGCGAGCGCAGGCGGUUCCUUAAGUCUGAUGUGAAAGCCCCCGGCUCAACCGGGGAGGGUCAUUGGAAACUGGGGAACUUGAGUGCAGAAGAGGAGAGUGGAAUUCCAUGUGUAGCGGUGAAAUGCGUAGAUAUAUGGAGGAACACCAGUGGCGAAGGCGACUCUCUGGUCUGUAACUGACGCUGAGGCUCGAAAGCGUGGGUAGCAAACAGGAUUAGAUACCCUGGUAGUCCACGCCGUAAACGAUGAGUGCUAAGUGUUGGAGGGUUUCCGCCCUUCAGUGCUGCAGUUAACGCAUUAANCACUCCGCCUGGGGAGUACGACCGCAAGGNUG